rnacentral:rRNA from 1 species
GGUUAACCGUAUAGGGGAGCCGGAGGGAAACCGAGUCUUAAUUGGGCGUUAAGUUGCAGGGUAUAGACCCGAAACCCGGUGAUCUAGCCAUGGGCAGGUUGAAGGUUGGGUAACACUAACUGGAGGACCGAACCGACUAAUGUUGAAAAAUUAGCGGAUGACCUGUGGCUGGGGGUGAAAGGCCAAUCAAACCGGGAGAUAGCUGGUUCUCCCCGAAAGCUAUUUAGGUAGCGCCUCGUGAAUUCAUCUCCGGGGGUAGAGCACUGUUUCGGCUAGGGGGCCAUCCCGGCUUACCAACCCGAUGCAAACUGCGAAUACCGGAGAAUGUUAUCACGGGAGACACACGGCGGGUGCUAACGUCCGUCGUGAAGAGGGAAACAACCCAGACCGCCAGCUAAGGUCCCAAAGUCAUGGUUAAGUGGGAAACGAUGUGGGAAGGCCCAGACAGCCAGGAUGUUGGCUUAGAAGCAGCCAUCAUUUAAAGAAAGCGUAAUAGCUCACUGGUCGAGUCGGCCUGCGCGGAAGAUGUAACGGGGCUAAACCAUGCACCGAAGCUGCGGCAGCGAACGUAUCACCCAAGACAACUUUGCGGAGUUGACGAUUGACGGAGCGAAGCGACGUCAAAGCGUUCAUUAAAGUCGAGUUGGCUU